rnacentral:tRNA from 1 species
CACAGCGUAGCUUAACUACCAUAAAGCAUCUGGCCUACACCCAGAAGAAUCCAAAACAAUGGACGCUUUGA